rnacentral:rRNA from 1 species
GUGAGGAAUAUUGGACAAUGGGCGCAAGCCUGAUCCAGCCAUGCCGCGUGCAGGAAGACGCAUCUAUGGUGUGUAAACUGCUUUUGUACGGGAAGAAACACUCCCUCGUGAGGGAGCUUGACGGUACCGUAAGAAUAAGGAUCGGCUAACUCUGUGCCAGCAGCCGCGGUAAUACGGAGGAUCCAAGCGUUAUCCGGAAUCAUUGGGUUUAAAGGGUCCGUAGGCGGUUUAAUAAGUCAGUGGUGAAAGCCCAUCGCUCAACGAUGGAACGGCCAUUGAUACUGUUAGACUUGAAUUACAAGGAAGUAACUAGAAUAUGUAGUGUAGCGGUGAAAUGCUUAGAUAUUACAUGGAAUACCAAUUGCGAAGGCAGGUUACUACUUGUGGAUUGACGCUGAUGGACGAAAGCGUGGGGAGCGAACAGGAUUAGAUACCCCGGUAGUCC